AUUUGUGGCCAUUCAUAAUAAAUUAAGAGUUUUAUAUACUAUGUUUAGAUGGAGAAUUGCAUUAAACCUGAGUUGGAAACUCAUUUCCCCAUGAACAUGAAUCUAAAGCUUGUUGUCCAAAACAUGUAUCAUGUGUUCACUAAAAUGCCCGAAAGAACACUGAGAAAUUUUCAUGUCUAAGCUUGAAGCCAAUUCAUAUUUGCAUUUACAUUCGUCGAAUCCUAC
rnacentral:lncRNA from 1 species